AGGCCCCGAGCCUGCUCAACUGCUGACAGCGGAACUGUCGCCUGCUCCCUGCUCAAUGCCCCUGAUGUGACGAGCACCUCCAAGGAGGGAUGGAUGGGGACGCUAAACAGCCGUAAAUGACAUUGUCACCAGUCUUCAUAAAGCACAGUGACUCACAGCCCUCAUUAAAGUGCUGAAGGCAAAUGUAAAGAAAGACUGGCAUGGAAAGCAGUGACAUUCUGCUAAACUACAGGAUUGUUUCUUCCAGGAAAGACAGUGUGGCUCCCGGUGACCUCUUGCUGUUUCUGAAAUCCAAAGGCAACCCAAAAGCCAACAAGAUAACACUCUCCUAAGAAGAUUCAGUAAGAAACAGACUUUCCAAAGAGCUUGGCGACAGCUUCAAAACUCAGAAGAAAAUAUAUGCCUGCCAUAUAUCAGCUGCUAUUGAGUACUGUUCUGACCAAUCCUCAUAGGUCACACUUUCAUGCUUAAAGUUCCUGGAAUGAAACACAGUCCUAAGCGAGCCAGGUGGCUGUUCUAAUGACUCAGGAUGGACUGCCCACAUCAUGUACCUCCCUCAUUGUACUUCCUGAAACGUGUGCCCGCUUCAGGGCUCCUACCUAGUCAGACUGCAGCUUCAUCAGAGGGGGCUCAUAGCAACCUAACCUGGACCCCUGCCCUUGGGGCCUGGCCCUGGACUUGCCACCUAACGCUCACCCUGCCACACGUGACAGGUGCGCCGAUGCCUGCAGAGCUACCCAUGAUAACUUCAGUCCUCUGGGGCUUAUCUAUACUAAACACAAUUAUGCCAAGACCCACACCCGCUGUACCAUUACCAAUGCUCACACUGGGGACUUAGGGGCAUUUUCUGUCG
rnacentral:lncRNA from 1 species